UAUGUGAUCGUCUCUCGCAUAUCAAUAAGCGGAGGAAAAGAAACUAACAAGGAUUCCCCUAGUAACGGCGAGUGAAGCGGGAAGAGCUCAAAUUUGAAAUCUUAAAGGGUUUCCCUUUACGAAUUGUAGUUUAAAGAAGUGUUUUCUGUUGAGGUUUUGGUAAAAGUUCUUUGGAAUAGGACAUCAUAGAGGGUGAGAAUCCCGUAUUUGACCUUUACUUUCAACUUUGUGAUACACUUUCAAAGAGUCGGAUUGUUUGGGAAUGCAGUCCAAAAUGGGUGGUAAAUUUCAUCUAAAGCUAAAUAUUGGCGAGAGACCGAUAGCGAACAAGUACCGUGAGGGAAAGAUGAAAAGAACUUUGAAAAGAGAGUUAAACAGUACAUGAAAUUGUCAAAAGGGAAGCGUUUGACACCAGUGUUGUUUUUCUGAAAAUCAAUUAAAGAACUGUUUAUGCUAAGCUGUUUAGACUUUAUCAGCUAUCUGUUUAGUUUUGAGCUUUUCUUUAAUGCACUUUUCAGUUAACAAGUCAACAUCAAUUUCUUUUGCUGUAAAAAAGCUUGAGGAAGGUGGCUUGAGAUUCGUCUUAAGUGUUUAUAGCCUCUUGCCUAUGCAGUCGGAGAGAUUGAGGUCUGCAGCGUAGAUCCUUCGGGGCUAAAUGCAUUUGUGCUAAGUUAUAGCAUUUUAUAGACAACUUGUUGACUAUGAUUUGUCUUGUAGCUUACUCGCUUAUGUUAUUUUACCUACGCUUAGGAUGUUGAGCGCAUGUCUCUCUCU
rnacentral:rRNA from 1 species